AUUGAACGCUGGCGGAAUGCUUUACACAUGCAAGUCGAACGGUAGAGGGGGCAACCCCUCGAGAGUGGCGAACGGGUGAGUAAUAUAACGGAACGUGCCCAGUCGCGGGGGAUAACGUAGCGAAAGUGACGCCAAUACCGAAUACGAUCUAAGGGAGAAAGCGGGGGACGGCAAGACCUCGCCUGAUGUGAGCGACCGAUAUCAGAUUAGGUAGUUGGGGGGGUAAAGGGUCACCAAGCCAACGAGCUGUAGCGGGUCUGAGAGGACGACCAGCCACACUGGAACUGAGACACGGUCCAGACUCCUACGGGAGGCAGCAGUGGGGAAUUUUGGACAAUGGACGCAAGUCUGAUCCAGCCAUUCCGCGUGCAGGAUGAAGGCCCUCGGGUUGUAAACUGCUUUUGUACGGAACGAAAAGGUCUCUCUUAAUACGGGGGGCUCAUGACGGUACCGUAAGAAUAAGCACCGGCUAACUACGUGCCAGCCGCCGCAGUAA
rnacentral:rRNA from 1 species